AAAAGGUUUCAAGGCACAUCGUGCAGUAGAAAGGUCCAGGUGGCUGGUGUGUUCACUACGUCGUAUCUGUCUCUUUUCCAAUGGACUGUACCCCUUGGACUGUAGCCUGCCAGGCUCCUCUGUUCAUGGGAUUUUCCAGGCAAAAAUAAUGGAGCGGGUUGCCAUUUCCUUCUCCAGCGGAUCUUCUCGACCCGGGGAGUGAACUCGUGUCACAUGCAUUGGCAGGCAGAUUCUUUACAGCUGAGCUACCAGGGAAGCCCAAUCUCUGGUGCUAGAGGUAAGGGCGCCUGAAAAAGGGGACUUUGCAGAGGUGAUGAAGAAUCUGAAGUGAGGAGAUGAUUCCCUCACCGAGAUUAUCAGAUUAUCCAGGUGGGCCCAAAUUAAUCAUGGGGGUCCUCAGAAGAUGGAAAGAAGGCAAGAGGAUCAGAGAGGUUGAAGCCAAGAGUCUGGAGUGAUGUGUCCAUGAGCCAAGGAGUGUGGGCAGGCCUUAGGAGCUGGAGAAGGCAAGGGAUGGAUUCUCCUUGAGACCUUCCAGAAGGAAUGUUAGCCCUGCAUUUUCAAUUGAUUUCUGACCUCUAGAACCAUGAGAUGAAUAAACUGGUGCUCUUUUAAGCCACCAAGUUUAUGGUAAUAUUUAUACAGAUGCAAUA